rnacentral:misc_RNA from 1 species
CCUCGCCCGCCAGCAGGCAAAGAUCCUCCCUGUAACGUCCCGCCACGAUCUGGACCCCUACUGGCACGCGGCCGACCAGACCGGUCGAGACCGUCAGGCCCGGCAUGCCGAUGAACGGCAGCGCAAUCUGCGGCAUCUGCGCCCGAAGCACGCGGUGCAGCGAGGCGUCGCCCUUGAGAUCGAGUUGCCAUUCAAAGGGCAGUUCGCGGCA